rnacentral:rRNA from 1 species
CCUACGGGAGGCAGCAGUGAGGAAUAUUGGUCAAUGGACGAGAGUCUGAACCAGCCAAGUAGCGUGAAGGAUGACUGCUCUCUGGUUUGUAAGCUUCUUUUAUAAAGGAAUAAAACGAGGCACGUGUGCCUUUUUGCAUGUACUUGUUGAUUAACGAUCGGCUAAUUCUGUGUCAGCAGCCGCGGUAACACGGAGGAUCCGAGCGUUAUCCGGAUUUAUUGGGUUUAAAGGGAGCGUAGAUGGGUUGUUAAGUCAGUUGUGAAAGUUUGCGGCUCAACCGUAAAAUUGCAAUUGAUACUGGCAGUCUUGAGUACAGUUGAGGUAGGCGGAAUUCGUGGUGUAGCGGUGAAAUGCUUAGAUAUCACGAAGAACCCCGAUUGCGAAGGCAGCUUACUAAACUGUGACUGACAUUGAUGCUCGAAAGUGUGGGUAGCAAACAGGAUUAGAUACCCUUGUAGUC